CGUCAAAUCAUCAUGCCCCUUACGUCUUGGGCUACACACGUGCUACAAUGGGCGGUACAGACGGAAGCGAAGUCGCGAGGCGGAGCAAAUCUGAUAAAGCCGUUCCCAGUUCGGAUUGCAGGCUGCAACUCGCCUGCAUGAAGUCGGAAUCGCUAGUAAUCGCAGGUCAGCAUACUGCGGUGAAUACGUUCCCGGGCCUU
rnacentral:rRNA from 1 species